UACGUAGGGGGCUAGCGUUGUCCGGAAUCAUUGGGCGUAAAGAGCGUGUAGGCGGUCCGGUAAGUCCGCUGUGAAAGUCGGGGGCUCAACCCUCGAAUGCCGGUGGAUACUGUCGGGCUAGAGUGCGGAAGAGGCGAGUGGAAUUCCGUGGUGUAGCGGUGGAAUGCGCAGAUAUCAGGAGGAACACCAAUAGCGAAGGCAGCUCGCUGGGACGGUACUGACGCUGGAGGCGCGAAAGCGUGGGGAGCGAACAGG
rnacentral:rRNA from 1 species